UACCGAGUUUACAACUCCCAAACCCAAUGUGAACGUUACCAAACUGUUGCCUCGGCGGGAUCUCUGCCCCGGGUGCGUCGCAGCCCCGGACCAAGGCGCCCGCCGGAGGACCAACCAAAACUCUUAUUGUAUACCCCCUCGCGGGUUUUUUUAUAAUCUGAGCCUUCUCGGCGCCUCUCGUAGGCGUUUCGAAAAUGAAUCAAAACUUUCAACAACGGAUCUCUUGGUUCUGGCAUCGAUGAAGAACGCAGCGAAAUGCGAUAAGUAAUGUGAAUUGCAGAAUUCAGUGAAUCAUCGAAUCUUUGAACGCACAUUGCGCCCGCCAGUAUUCUGGCGGGCAUGCCUGUCCGAGCGUCAUUUCAACCCUCGAACCCCUCCGGGGGGUCGGCGUUGGGGAUCGGCCCUCCCUUAGCGGGUGGCCGUCUCCGAAAUACAGUGGCGGUCUCGCCGCAGCCUCUCCUGCGCAGUAGUUUGCACACUCGCAUCGGGAGCGCGGCGCGUCCACAGCCGUUAAACACCCAACUUCUGAAAUGUUGACCUCGGAUCAGGUAGGAAUACCCGC
rnacentral:rRNA from 4 species